rnacentral:rRNA from 1 species
GACGAACGCUGGCGGCGCGCCUAACACAUGCAAGUCGAACGAGAGAUGAGGAGCUUGCUCUUCAAAUCGAGUGGCGAACGGGUGAGUAACGCGUGAGGAACCUGCCUCAAAGAGGGGGACAACAGUUGGAAACGACUGCUAAUACCGCAUAAGCCCACGGCUCGGCAUCGAGCAGAGGGAAAAGGAGCAAUCCGCUUUGAGAUGGCCUCGCGUCCGAUUAGCUAGUUGGUGAGGUAAUGGCCCACCAAGGCGACGAUCGGUAGCCGGACUGAGAGGUUGAACGGCCACAUUGGGACUGAGACACGGCCCAGACUCCUACGGGAGGCAGCAGUGGGGAAUAUUGCACAAUGGGGGAAACCCUGAUGCAGCGACGCCGCGUGGAGGAAGAAGGUCUUCGGAUUGUAAACUCCUGUUGUUGAGGAAGAUAAUGACGGUACUCAACAAGGAAGUG